UUUUUGGCUCCACCACUCCAUUCCCUUCCCCAAUCCUCUCUCUUCUUUCAUAUUUCAUUUUCAUCUUUACAAACCACAAAGUUUAGUAUUAUUAUUUGAUGUUGUUUGCCUUUUUAAAGCCUCCAAAUAAAAAUUGAAUCAGAGGGGAUAUCUGAGGUGAUUGUAGUUUUUGUAGUUGUGGUUGAAAUUUGAAGCUUUUGGGUGAAGGGAGUUAAAGGGACAAAUGUGACAUUGUGGCUGUUUGUUGUUGUUGAUGACAAAAUAGCCCAACAGAUUACUAGUACUCUCCUAGAGACAAAUCUAAUUAGAAACACUCACACAAAUGAAGAGGAUUGACCCAUUCACUAAGAGUGACGUGUAUAAAGGAAUGGGCAAAAUAGGACGGUGUUCAUAAUCACAAAGGGUAAUCCGAGUAAUUAGGAAACGAAUCGACAAUGGACAGAUUGAAGGUGGAUAGUUGAGGUUUGAGG
rnacentral:lncRNA from 1 species